rnacentral:rRNA from 1 species
AAAGUCUGACCGACCAACGCCGCGUGAGGGAUGAAGGCCCUAGUGGUUGUAAACCUCUGUCAGGAGGGGAUAAAGCGUCGAGGUUAAUNCCCUCUACGUCUGAAGGUACCUCCAAAGGAAGCUCCGGCUAACUCCGUGCCAGCAGCCGCGGUAAUACGGAGGNAGCAAACGUUGUUCGNAUUUACUGGGUGUAAAGGGUGCGUAGUCGGCUAUGUGUGUNAGAGGUGAAAUCCCACGGCUCAACCGUGGAAAUGCCUUUGAAACUGCAUGGCUUGAGUCCGAGAGAGGAAGACGGAAUUCCUGGUGUAACGGUGAAAUGUGCAGAUAUCAGNAANAACACCGGUGGCGAAGNCGGUNUUNUGGCUCGGUNCUAACGNUNAGGCACNAAAGCUAGGGUAUCAANCGGNAUUAGAUACCCCGGUAGUCCUANCCGUAANCNAUGUCAAUUAGGUGUCG